GGGUGAGUAACGCGUGAGUAACCUGCCCUUAAGAGGGGGAUACUCCUUGGAAACGGGGGCUAAUACCGGAUAUUGUAUUGUUUUGGCUUCACUUUGAUUAAAAAGCUUUAGCGCUUAUGGAUGGACUCUGGACCCAUUGUGUAUUUGGAGAGGGGACGGGUCACCGCUUACACGAGCUGUGACCCAUCUGCGAGGUUGAUCAGUCGCCUUGCGACUGAGACCUGGCCCACACUCCUACCUGAGGCAGCAGGGGGGAAUAUUGAAUCUUGGGGGAAACCCUGACGCUGAACGCCGCGUGCGGAAGAAGGUCUUCGGAUUGUAAACUGUUGUCUCUGGUGUUAAAAAAAAGAGAGUACCUUGUGAGAAAGUCUCGGUUAACUACGUGCCAACUACCACGGUAAUACUUACGUGACGAGCGUUGUCCGGAUUUACUGGGUGUGAAGGGCGCGUACGCGGACUGUCGAGUCAAACGCGAAAUACCGGGGCUUAACCCCGGGGAUGCGAUUGACACUGACUCACUUGAGUAUCUGAGACGAAAGCUGAAUUCCUAGUGUGCCGAAGAAAUGAGUGGAUCUCCAUAUGAACACCAGUGGUGAAUGCAGCUUUCUGGACAACAACUGACGCUGAGGCGCUCUCGUGUGUGGAGCUGACACGAUUAGAUACCCUGGUGGUCCACACCGAAGAUUAUGGAUACUGGGUGUAGGAGGUAUCGACUCCUUCUGUGCCGUGUUAACAGGUUACGUAUUCUCACUGCUGAGUACGACCAUUAGGUUGAAACUCAGGGGAUUGACAGCGCACCGCACAA
rnacentral:rRNA from 1 species